rnacentral:rRNA from 1 species
GACGAACGCUGGCGGCGUGCUUAACACAUGCAAGUCGAACGGUGAAGCGCCUUCCUUUUUGGUGGGUGUGGAUGAGUGGCGAACGGGUGAGUAACACGUGAGUAACCUGCCCCCUUCUUCUGGAUAACCGCAUGAAAGUGUGGCUAAUACGGGAUAUUCUGGGUCUGUCGCAUGAUGGGUCUGGGAAAGAUAUUGUUUCGGUGGGGGAUGGGCUCGCGGCCUAUCAGCUUGUUGGUGGGGUGAUGGCCUACCAAGGCGGUGACGGGUAGCCGGCCUGAGAGGGUGGAGGGUCAAACUGGGACUGAGACCCGGCCCAGACUCCUACGGGAGGCAGCAGUGGGGAAUAUUGCACAAUGGGCGCAAGCCUGAUGCAGCGACGCCGCGUGAGGGAUGGAGGCCUUCGGGUUGUGAACCUCUUUCGCCAGUGAAGCAGGCCUGCCUCGUUUGUGGGUGGGUUGACGGUAGCUGGAGAAGAAGCGCCGGCUAACUACGUG